UUUGUCCCAGAAAGAUGGGUAAUUUGAAGCACAUGAGGCGUCUUGAUCUGGCGGGAAAUUCUAAAAUCAAGAAACUUCCAAAAUCCAUUUGCGAGCUACAGAGUUUACAAACACUGAAUCUUGAAGGAUGUCUGGAGCUAGAAGAGUUGCCUAAAGACAUAAGGUACCUUGUUAGUCUCAGAGUGUUAGGGCUAACCACAAAACAAAAGUCUUUGCAAGAGAGUGGAAUAAGGAGCUUGAGUUCUCUUCGUUGGUUGUCAAUUUCUAAAUGCAGGAAUUUAGAACAUUUGUUCGAGGAGAUAGAUCAAUUAUUGUCCUUCGAACAUUAUUAAUUGCUAAUUGUCCUCGUCUAAUCUCAUUGCCACCUGCUAUCAAAUAUCUCAGCUCAUUAGAGACUCUGAUGUUGUGGAAGUGUGAAAGCCUUGAUCUUAAUCUGAACGUGGAAAUGGAAGGUGAAGGAAGUCAUCAUGAUUGCAAAGACACAAGGCCUCACCUUUGGAGGGUUUUCGUUGUGGAAAUAACACUGUUAUUAGAACUGCCGCAAUGGCUUCUUCAAUGUUGUACUGAUACUUUACGGAACUUGGUUAUUGGAGAUUGUCCCAACUUCAUGGCACUGCCAGGGUCUCUAAAAGAUCUCAAAGCUCUUGAAACUCUUACCAUUCUAGGAUGUCCAAAAUUGUCAUCGUUGCCGGAGGAUAUGCAUGACGUCACAACUCUGAAAUCAUUGACCAUUGCAGGAUGUCCUGCACUGAGUGAAAGAUGCAAACCGCCAACAGGUGAAGAUUGGCCCAAGAUUGCACAUAUCCCUCAGGUUCAUCUUGAUGGCGAGAUGAUUGAAUCAAGUGAUAAUUAGGUAUGGAUUUUUUUUUUUCAAUAAGCGUACCACUCUGUUAUAUUUCCUCUUUUCAUGCAGCUUUCUAAUUUUUAAUUUCUCAUACAGCUAUACCGUUUAUAGUUUAAUGUUUUGUUAUGUUUACCAAACGAAAACUUGACUUUGAACGUUAGUUAGUUCAAUCAAAUUUGUACUAAUUUAUUUUCUUCUAAUACAUAAUUAUUUUGUCGGUACGAAAAACAAAAAUAAUAUUUUGGAAACCGCACUGUUCUCGGGGUCAGAUCUGUUUCUAAAUUCAAACAGUUCAGGAUUUUUCAAAAUGGAACUUAUAAUGAGAUUUUUUUUUUAAUUAUCUAGUUAUCUUCAUAUGGAAUUUCAAUCUUUGUUAAUACUUUAACUUGCCCCGAAACAUCUGACUAUUCUUCCUCUUGUCCUUUUUUUUUCCCAAAUAUUGCAGCUUUCUUGGGAGAGGUUCAACCAAACUGCAGGGACAGUGAAAAUAUUACUCUAAGUUACAAGUAUUAUAUAUUCGUUACGUGUGGUUAUGUAAUUUGCUGAUAAAUAAGUACAUUGAGUGAGGUAUAUGUGUGUGCCUGUGUGGUCAUUACUGAAUUUCUCAGUAAUAUAAUUUGCAUUGACUGCAGAUUUGUGAAGAACAUUGAUUCCAAACAUGUGGUGUCUGUAUUUUGUGCUUUGUGAUUGACGACUUACAUUUGCCCAGGAAGAAAUGAAAACAAAUCGGCUUCUUGAAAUUAACCAUUUAUUCUUUCGAAUGGUAACCUUUUUGUGACAUGAUUCGCAUAUUAAUCAAACGUAGUUGGCAAACUAAUUAGAUAUUGCAUCGUGAUUCGUGGCCUUGAAGUGAAAUGAGUGUUGGUGCUAAUUAGCAAUGUAACUUGUUUUGAUUAAAAUUCAAUGACUUUCUUCGUAUUAAUCAAAUUAAUUAAUAAAUUAUUUUGGUAAAAAGAAUUUGCCAAUUUUGUGGCGGUCUUGAGACCCUUGACGGUGGUGAAAUUGAUUCACGGUUUCAAAUGAAGACAUGCAGCGGAUGCGUGCGUGCCGUAUGACAUCGAUGAAAAAGUAAAGAGUUUGAUUUCUCUAUUUUACCCUUAAUUAAUCGUUGACGUCUAAUUUUACACUCCCAACAAAUUUGAAUGAAACAAUCCUAAUGUUCACUUUCUUCUUCCAUUUCAUUUUACGACUUAACAAAAUCUCGCAACGGAGAUGCUCCUGAUGAGGAGAAGGAGAAGAAGACACAGCGAGUUCGCAAGAACGUGUACAGAGGAAUAAGGCAGAGGCCAUGGGAGAAAUGGGCAGCUGAAAUUAGAGACCCUUACAAGGGCGUCCGCGUUUGGCUCGGCACAGCCGAAAAAGCUGCAAGAGUUUAUGCUGACGUCGCCAAGAAUAUCCGUGGCUCGACUUUGCUCACCGGCCGCCAGUAACUCCACCUCCAGGUAAGAAACGCUUCGUGCUAUCCCGUGAGUUGACUCACCCGAAUUUCGGAGAUUACUUUUUUAUUGGUUUUCAUUGAUUUCUUUUCCUGCUCUUAUCUACGAGGUUGUGCUUUCCCUUGGAUGCCCUUUAAUAAACAGCUUUCUUAAUAACAACUGAAGCGAAAAGUCAUUUUAUCAAAUGAUUUGGUGAAAUUUCAAGUACUUUCAUCUUGGUUUAUGCAGUUAAUAGGAAAUAGUUUGGUGUUGGGAUGUGUUAUAUGUAUCAAGUUCUUAUUGCUGGUUUGUUUCUCAUAAUCGUUAUCCAGUCAAAGCAAACGUUCGCCUCUCACAUUGACGGUUAGGCUAGAUGUUUGACCCUGAAUAAGAUGAUUGAGUUUAUUAUAGUCUUCUUAUAUUGUCGGUUCAAUAUCAUUUUGAAAUAUCACAUCAAUUCCGCGUUUGGAGUUUUAAUCCAUGCCCAGUUACACCUUUAUUUUACUUUUAAGCUGCAACAUUGAGUCACAUUCUUUUUCUGUUAUUAUUACGAUUAGCGACUGGUACAGUGGUAUUUGAACUGCAUAGCGUGUCAACUUUCACUCUAAAUGUCUUAGAAACUCUGUCUAUCACUAAUUUCCUAGAACAGGCCUCGUUGACAGUCAAAGAUUUGAGGCGUAUUUCUGGACUGAAGGCUUUUCUCUAGUCAAUUUGAUGAUAAGCGCAUUUAUUAUCUCCAGCAUUAAGCAGUAAUUUGUAACUAGUAGUAGCCAGUACCUAAGAUGUUGCAUUUGACUGUCUUCUCUUUCUGGUUCAGUUUCGACCUUUGGAGCUGUUUUAGACAUGGUAACGGAUAGGUAAUUUCUCUCUACCCCACCCCACAAUGUAUCAUCAGUCAUCAUUCGUUGUGGUUGGUGGAGAUACACAUACUAAUUUGGAUUAUUGUCCGUGCCUUCGUCUUUUGUCAAUAAUCUUUUGCAUUUCAGGAUUAGUACAGCUUGUCUACUGGUAAUACUCUCUCAAGUAUACAGGGAAGACUUUGUUACGUUUUCUUGACCCGUAAUCUAAUGUUUUAAGAUGAAGGCAUAAUUGAGCUAUCUUGCAUCUCCAUGCAGGCCUGGUUUGGUUUUUGUGUCACUACCUGUAUUAGAUAUUGGUAGUCAAUGGCUGCAGAUGUACAGGUACCUUUUCGUUUCCCUGACAUAAUCUCAUGUUACAUGAAAUUGCUCGUGGAACUGGGAGAUUUUUUAUUUUUUAUUUUUUCAUAUUUACUAAAGAAAAGUGUUACUUUCGUUGGGAAAAAUGCCUACCACUCUUUAUCUCUGUUGCAGUACAUUCUUAACAGGAAAAACUCGACAUAAAGAUGCAAAAGACAGCACAAAUUGGCUUUUCAAAGCCUAUUAUGGGAACCGGAUGUUUAUGGGUUAUUGUUGUGUGGCGUGUGAGGUAAUUGUAGCUUUCCGUGUUAUUAUACAUAUCAGGAUUUGCAAAUGUUAUCGGUACUUUUUACCUGAUCCAACUGUUUCAACCCUGCAGCUUCUUUACCUAAUCCUAUUUCUUAUUGCGUAGAAGCAGAGGGAAAGCUUGGUGGAUGUAGGCUCUCAUUUUCUUACUAUUAGAUUGUUCUGAAAAUAGAAAUAUUUCCCCUGUUUCUUGAUUUUCAAACAAUUUCUUCUUUCAGGUUGUGGCGAGUGCUGUGCAACAGGGUUCGCCUCUUUCCUUCCUAGUUGCAUUGAGUUUAUUCGCAUGGGCGCAAUCAAGCAAACGAUUAAUGUCGGACAGGUAACUUCAACCCCAUAUGAUGGUAAUGUUCGUUUAAAUAAAUUUCUUGAUGUCUACAAAUUAAGGAAACCUUUGUAUGGGUAAAGUUGACAUUUUACACUGGCAUUAUGGGUCUUGAAAUCGGUCUGUUUUAGAUUCACAUGCUGUGAUAUGCUCUAAUGUUAAAACUCAAACCUCUUCUGCAUGUUAAAUGGAUUGUCGUGGAUAUGCCUGGGAUGAUCAUUUUCUUCGUUUUCACUCAUCGUCUUUGUCAUUGUAGUUAUAAUUGAUUGUGGAGAGUGAAAACGCACUGUGAUGAAUGAAUGCAAAAGCUAUGUAAUUAAGACUACAUUUAUUAGGUUGGUGACCACAAAUAAUCGGAAGGAUAUUCACAAUAGUGUUAUUGAAGCUCUAUAUGGAAUAAGGAGACCAAACCUGUAUGUGAUAAGAGUUGUAUGAAUACCAAAUGAAUUGUCAGAGGAUAUGGUUACUUUAGAUUGCAAUUUAAGAAUGCUUGAGUUCUAAAAGCACAGAAAUGGGAUCAGUUAGGGUAAACUCCUUCGUCAGUUAGUGAACUGUCCAUCAAAAGUAAAUAUUUAUGUGAUUGAGAGAAAUUUUGGAUUUUUGAUGAAAACAAAAAUCCUGUAUGCAUUUGCUUGCCCCCAAGGAGCUGAAGAUUCUCAAAUUGUUUGUAGACGUAAUAGUUCUUCUGAUAUCAUUUGGCUUGCUAAUCUUUCUUGCUCGAAAAUUUACCCGUUGUGUGGUCUUGAUGGUGGAUGAAAUUGAUGUGUGGUUUCAGAUGAAGACGGCAGCAGAUAUGUGUGUGCCAUAUGACAUCGAGAAAAAGCAAAAGCCUUAAAGAGUUCAUCAACAUUUUCCAUUCAGAAGAAUAUGUUUUGUGGUUUUCAAUAUAAUUGAAGAAAUGAUGUUUGUACUGAUGCAGAUGCAGGAACUUUACACAUCUUAAGUUUACGAGAUAUAUAUAUAUUUUUUUGACUCUGUUAGAUAGCUGUCAGUUAGUUAACCAAUUUAUGUUACUCUUCCUUGGCUAGCCAAUUAAGAACUUAUGUUUGCUGGAUUGUAAAGCCUACAUCUGGAAGCCACAGGUGAUUUUAUUUGAAGGCAAUUUGUACUAGGCUAUAUGCGGAUUUCUAUCUUGAUUUCUGUAUGCUUGAAGGAGAUUUUUUUAUGCGUGAGAGCUUGAAAAUUAUACAUGUACAUGUUGAAACUAUUGGAUAUAUGUUAAGAAUCAAGCAUAAUUGUGUCAAGAUGAAACCAUAAUUUGGGUGCUGUUUUAUGAGUAAACUAUCUGCAAUUUGGGUGCAGUAAACCUAGGUUGAAUACCAGGACAUGGUAUAAAAGUGAAAUCACACAUUGAAUCUCGCAUAAAGAUUUUAAAGAUGCAAAUUCGAAUUGUACAUGAGAUGUUAUCUUGAUCGAAUUGCAGCGGCUUUGUUUUGGAUCCAGAAAACAAAAUUGAAGGCAUAGAGAAGUCUCUAUGGGAUGCUUAUAUUAAGGUGCAUAAUGGCCUCAUUGAGUUUUGUGCUGUUGUUCUACGUUGUUUGAGUUUUGUGCUGCGGUUCUGUGUUGCUGCUUUUGCUACCGAUUUUGGCUAUUUUCUGCCACUCUGUUAUUUGCUAUUUUUUACUACUUUCGCUGCUGAUUUUUACUGUUUUCGCUGCUUUAGCUGUUGUUUUAUCUGCUGUUUUUUUUUACUGCUUUUAUUUUUUAUUUUUUCUGUUCUCUAUCGUGUUUUACCCACUGGUUGUCGCAUGUUUAUUAAUAUUGUUUGCUGCUGUUUGAUUUGCUGUUUUUUGCUGCUAAUUUUUUUUCCUGUUUUCUGCGGUUAUUUGCUGCCGUUACUGUUUUACUCGCCAGUUGAUGAUGUUUUGUGGUUCUCCUCCUCGAAUGCCUACUUUUUCCAGUGUGCAAGCAUAUCUGUUGAGAGUGGCUGAUGAAAUCACUAAACUGUUACAGUUGAUCUCAUGCUUCUCUAGAGAAGGAAUUAGACUUAUUUUGGUGAAGGGGUUUUUUCUGGUUUUUAUAUCAGUGUGUGCAUUUCUUCAAUCACGUAGCUUUGUGGCAUUACGAUCGAUAAUGGCUGUUAAGCGAAUAAAAGCACCAGGUCGGCCAUACUAUUAUUGCCACCCCGGCAUGGAUCACCUCAGCCCUGUGGUACGAGCAGAGCACAGGGGCACACAUCGACCAGAUGUUCAUAUCAAACCGAUAUACAUUCCCCAGAAAAGCGGGAACACGAUCCCACAGAAUCACUGCAGUUGCGCUUUGCCCAGAACCGUUGAAGGACACGGGAGAUCCCACGUUUGCCACAAUGCAACAAUCAGAGCCCCAUGAGGGGCGGCCACCACCCGAAAAAAGGGGGAUAGAGGGUAAGCGGAAAACGUGGGACAAACAGCGGCUAUAAAAGAAGAGGAAAUCGAUGAAGAAAAGGACACAGAAAAAUUGAGAGGGGAAAACGCUGCCAAAUUGCAACCAGGCCAUUUUCUUACAAAUUUCGAACAAACUUCUUGAAUCCAAAUUACAUUGUUUUCCCGUAAACACCUUGUACUAACUUAGGCAUCGGAGGGUUUACGCCGGCAAAACCACCGGCGUCUCUGAUCCGUUUUUGCUGAACGCAGGUCUAGUGAGAGAAAGGAGGGUGAUUCCAGCCUUAGCGGUUCGUGCAACAGUCGAUAUCUUAAACGUUGGUGGAAGAAUCUGGUCAGUCCAAGGACGAGCAGAUUUCGGCAUCAACAUUUUGGCGCCGUCUGUGGGGAGCUGGAUAAAAAGCUACCACCGAAUCAGUAGUUACCGGAGAAACAGCGAACGAUUAGAUAUGGAUGUGCCGAGAAAGGAUGCUUUGAGGGAGGAUAACGAAACUGUGGAGACAAUCACUCUCCGGGAAAUUGCAAAUGAAGCUUGGGAGAGGAUGAUGCAAGACCGAUUGGAGCGGAUGGAGAAACAAAUGGAGACUCUCGCGACCAUAGUGUAUGAGCUGAGGGAUGAGCGGAGAAAGGAUUGUGAAACCCCCGUGGGGAGAGAUGAUGUUGGAGCAGAACCCAGCUUCCGAAGGCGUAGAGUUGAGGAAAUCCCUCCGCCGGUAGACCAACUUAAUGGGGUGCAUCCCCACAGAAGCACUAGUCGGGCUUCAGGAGAACGAGUAGAUGAAGGGAGGGACCAACCUUGCCCCGGACGGGUACCGGAGAUUGAUGGCCGAGGGGCCAGUAUUGAUGAAGGAGAGCUCAGACAGCGGUUGCAAAAUGCCGAGCAGGAACGAGUUCAGAUAGCUGCGCGUGAUCCUGACCGUGCCGUAGAAUUGGAGGAAGAAGUGCGCAGAUUAGCGCAAGUGAUAGAGGAGAUACAGGGCAAGAGAAAGUCCCCGAGCUGGAGGAUAAUGCUAGAUGAAGAAUCUCCACUAUCAGCUGUGAUCAUGGGUACCAUAAUCCCAAGAGAUUUCCGCUUUCCCGACCUCAAAUACUCCGGGCGAAGUGAUCCAUUGGUGCAUAUUGAACGUUUCAACGACGUGACGGGUGUUCAAGGGUUAACACCAGCCCAGAGAUGUAGGGUGUUACCAUUGACACUGGAAGGACGAGCCGGAGAAUGGUACCGCAAGCUGUCACGAGGAAGUAUCAGAGGGUACGAGCAGAUGUGCCAAGAGUUGGCCGAACAGUUCCGAGGAGCAGUGGCCUCAGAGGAUGAUAUGAUGGAGCUAAUGGGAAUGAAGCAGGAGGAACAAGAAUCCCUUCGGGAUUUUGUAAAACGAUACCACCGAGCCGUGCUUGAUUUGGGGGCCUUCAAUCACCCGCAGGCGUUGAGGGGAUUAAAGGAGGGAGUGAGGAUAGGCCGGCUAUGGUAUAACCUGAGAAGUCCCUUGGUACAAAAUUACUCAGCGGGGUAUGAGCAGGCAAAGAGAGACAUUGAAAUCGAAGAGAAAAAGUCGGCGAGGAUAAAAAGUGAACAACUGGAGGAGCUGAGAAGAAAGGAAAGGAGAAUCCCGAGUGGGAGCGGAUCGGGAAAGCGAGCUGGGGAGUCCUCAGCUAUGGGCGGAAUAUCAGCUUGGUCCCGCCCUUACCACGUAGCUCCGAGACCACAACAGUUCCAACACAGCCGAGCCCAACCUCCGCGCACUUCAUUCCCGGAGCGGCAACGAGAAUUCAGGCAGAUGGCUGCCCGCCCUUAUUACAACGCUCCCAGAGCAUUACAUGCAAGUGGUUCCAGGGCAGGAAGACCAGACCAGCUAGCGACUAUACCAACCCGAGAUGACAUUCAGGAUAGCCGAGCAGUUCAACUGGUAGACCAGAGCUUGGCAUAUAGACAGUACACUCCAUUGAAGAUCUCAAUGGAGGAAUUGUAUGAGAGGAUCGAAGGACGAGGCCUGCUGUACCCGCCAGCCCCUAUAACAAAACUGGCUCACCGACGGGAUAAGAACAGAUUCUGCAAGUUUUACGACACUCAUGGUCACACAAUCGACCAAUGUCGUGACCUGAAGAUUCAGGUGGAGGACUUAGUACGGAACCGGUACUUGGAUGAGUAUGUAGAGGGGGUGUCCCCGAUCAUCGAAUCAAAGUAUAUACGGGAUGAAGAAGUUCAGAGGGGUUUGGAACGUGAACAGCCGACCAUCCAUGUGAUAGCUGGGGGGCCAACAUUGGCUGGGGAUUCGAACAGAGCACGGAAGAACUAUGGGAGAUACGCCAUGACUGGCAAAGAGGUGCUUCUAAAUUUGCCAGCGGCCAAGAAGGCGAAGGUACGGCAAGUUCCCAUUAUGUGGACGGAGGAUGACGAGGAGGGUAUUUUGUAUCCUCAUGAGGAUGCACUGGUGAUUAAAGCAUUGGUGGCUAGCACAGAAUUGCGGCGAAUACUGGUGGACACGGGCAGUUCAGUUGACAUUCUAUUUAAGUCAGCCCUAAAUGAUAUGGGGAUUUUAGAUUUAAAGCUGGAGCGGAUGAAUACAUCCUUAAAAGGAUUUGGAGGGGGACGGUUAACUCCCUUGGGGAUCAUUGAACUCCCGAUUACUGUGGGGACAAAGCCGUUUGAAAGAACGGUGAUGCUGGACUUCGUCGUGGUAGAGGAAAGAAGCCCUUAUCAGAUGAUAUUGGGGAGACCGUUCAUGAGGAUAAGCCAAUGCGUUGUAUCAACGCAUUAUUUGGCGCUAAAGUACAGAGUAAAUAAAGUGGUAGGCGUUGUAAAAGGCGACCAGAGGAUGGCAAGGAGCUGUUAUGCUACAGCAGCCAAGGAGACAUUAUAGGUUACUUCUCUGGAUAAUCGAGGAGAUUCUAAAAAGGGUCGCCAAGAGCCUGUUGAAAAGCUAGAAGAGAUUGUUAUAAGCAGAAGCAACCCGAGUAGAGUGGUUAAGAUCGGAUCAGGACUGGUCGGGACAGUAAAAGACGAGCUGGUAAAGUGCCUACAGUCCCAUGCAGAUAUAUUCGCCUGGUCUCACGGGGACAUGCCAGGAAUUGAUCGCAAGGUAGCUUGCCACAAGUUGACAAUCAAGAAGGGGGCAAGGCCGGUGAGACAGAAGAGGAUAUGCUUUAACCAGGAAAGGUACGAGGCCAUAAACACCGAGGUGGAGAAGCUGUUGAAAGCAUGAUUUAUAAGGGAGGCCAAGUACCCAGAGUGGAUUUCCAAUGUAGUACUGGUGAAGAAGGCCAACGGGAAGUGGAGAAUGUGUGUGGAUUUCACAGAUCUUAAUAAGGCGUGCCCGAAAGACAGUUUUCCUCUACCAAAGAUAGACCAAUUGGUGGAUUCGACAGCGGGUCACAGUCUGCUCAGCUUCAUGGAUGCCUUUUCGGGAUACAACCAGAUACCCAUGGACGAGCAGGAUGAGGAAAACACCACCUUUAUAACUAAUAUGGGUUUGUUUUGCUACAGGGUAAUUCCUUUCGGCCUGAGAAAUGCCGGAGCUACGUAUCAAAGGAUAGCGAACAAGAUCUUCAAGCCCUUGAUUGGACAUACUAUGGAGGUAUAUGUAGACGAUAUGAUCACAAAGUCCAAAGAACCGAGGGAUCACGUGAAACACUUGGAAGAAACCUUUGAAUUGUUGAGGAAGUAUGAAAUGAGGCUAAACCCGGAGAAGUGUGCAUUUGGGGUUAGCUCGGGCAAAUUUUUAUGAUUCCUAGUAAGCCACCGAGGGAUCGAGGCCAACCCGGAAAAAAUACGGGCGGUGAUAGAAAUGAGGUCCCCACGAACAGUUAAGGAGGUGCAGAGCCUUACAGGGAAGUUGGCAGCAUUAAACCGAUUCAUCUCGCGGGCCACAGAUAAAUGUCACCCUCUCUUCCAAACCAUAAAGAAAGGGAAAAAGAUGGAGUGGACAUCAGAAUGCGAGGAAGCGUUUGAGCAGCUGAAGGAAUACCUGACCCGGGCCCCAUUACUAUCGACUCCGAGAGAGGGUGACCAGCUGCUGUUGUACUUAGCAAUCUCUAAAUGGGCUACCAGCUCGGUAUUAGUCAGGGAAGAAGAAGGAAAGCAACACCCGGUAUACUACACGAGCAAGGCCCUGGUAGAUGCAGAAACUAGAUACCCAUUGAUGGAGAAGUGGGCGCUGGCUCUAAUAACGGCAGCACGAAAACUCUGACCAUAUUUUCAGGCCUAUCAGGUUAUUGUGAUGACCGACCAGCCGCUUCGGCAAACACUUCAAAAAUCAGAUGCAUCGGGUCGAUUAGUAAAAUGGUCCGUAGAGCUAAGUGAAUUUGACCUCUCCUAUAGGCCCCGAGGAGCAAUCAAAGUCCAAGCUCUGGCAGAAUUUAUGGUUGACCGAGCUGAUACAGGGGAAGAAAUUCGGGAGGAGCAACUAACAGAGCAGGAGAAGCCAGAGGGGGUGUGGUUGGUAAUGGUUCACGGAUCAUGUAGUGAGCAAGGAUCCGGAGCAAGAGUUGUAAUACGGAGCCCAGAUGGAACCGAAAUAACGUAUGCAGUGAAGUUUGAAUUUCAGCUCACAAACAACCAAGCUGAAUAUGAGGCCUUUAUCACCGGGCUCGGACUUGCACAUGCUCUAAGAGCAGAGAGGGUAGAAAUUCGAGCAGAUUCCCAACUGGUGUGUAAUCAGCUCAAUGAUCAGUUCGAAGCAAGGGGAGAGAAGAUGUGUCUUUAUUUGAAGAAAGCGAAGCAGAUGGUUGGGCUUUUCCAAGCGGUGGAGGUAAAGCAGAUAUCUCGGAAUGAGAAUUACCGAGCAGAUAUGUUGGCUAGGAUGGCUGCCAUUGCAGAUCCAAAAUUACCUAAGUCGGUUCCACUAGAGGUGAGGAUCUCACCAAGUAUAGAGGAAGAAGCAGAGGUUAUGAGAAUAAGUACUGGAGAAUCUUGGAUGGACCUGAUUCGCGCAUAUGUCCGCGAUGGAGUUUUACCAGAGGACAAAAGGCAAGCAAGAAAAUUAAAAUGCCGAGCAGCGAGGUAUACGCUACUGGAUGGAGUGCUGUACUGCCGAGGGUUCACCUUGCCCCUUUUGAGAUGUUUGGAUGAUGAGGAGGCGGAUUAUGUGCUGAGAGAGAUUCAUGAGGGAAUAUGCGGCAAUCACUCGGGAGCAAGAACUUUAGCCUUCAAGGCACUCCGACAAGGAUACUUCUAGCCAACCAUGCACCAGGAUGCGAAAAAGAUGGCAAAGAAUUGUAAAACAUGCCAAAGCUUCUCCGAGGUUCCUGCACAACCCUCGGAAAAGCUGACGGCUAUGACAUCCUCGUGGCCUUUCGCUCAAUGGGGAAUCAACUUGAUUGGUCCGUUGCCUAAGGGACGAAGAGCGGCGACACAUGCAAUUGUGGCAAUAGACUACUUCAUCAAGUGGGUGGAAGUGGGAGUCCUCAGCCAAAUCACAGAGAGAAAGACAAUAGAUUUUAUUUGAAAAAAUAUCAUCUGCAGAUAUGGGAUCCCUUACGCCAUCAUCACAGACAAUGGGAGGCAAUUUGACAACAGCAACUUCAGGAAAUUUUGCCGAAACUUGGGGGUGGACCUGAAGUUCUGUACCCCCGCACACCCCCAGGCAAAUGGACAAGUGGAAGCAGCCAACAAGGUGAUAAAGAAGCUCCUGAAGACUAGAUUGGGAGAGAAUAAGGGAGCUUGGGUUGACGAGCUACCAGGAGUAUUGUGGGCCUAUAGGACAACUCACAAAACCGCCACAGGGGAAACCCCGUUCGCUUUAGCUUUUGGUCAUGAGGCGGUAGUCCCAGCAGAAGUGGGAGUGGGGACACAUCGGACGGAAUAUUUCACUGAGGAGCAAAAUGACGAGCAGAUCUGCUUGAGUCUGGACCUGCUGGAGGAAAAAAGGGAAGGGACAUCGCAGAGAGUGGCCCAGUGUCAACAAAGGGUCAUGCGUUAUUACAACAAGAACGUACGCGUGAGGCAGUUCCGAGCAGGAGAUUGGGUACUUAGGAAGGUGAACCAGAACACCCGGGAUCCUAACCAUGGCGCUCUUGGCCCAAAGUGGGAAGGCCCAUACCGAGUGAUAUGAGCCACUGGACCAGGAGCAUAUAAAUUAGCGUACCAAGACGGACGAGACGUGAAGAGGUCAUGGAACGCCGAACACCUGAAGAAGUAUUUCCAAUAAGCAAAAUGCUCUAUUAAAUCCUCACUCUGGCAAGUUAUUUCUGUUACAAUGCAUGAUGGCCUGUAGCACAUGCAUAUAUUUUGUAUUUUUGUAAUACAUUCAAAUUUCAAUAAAGAUGAAUUCAGAAUGAAAUCCCCUGCUAGCGAGCCCAAUAAGAAAUUUUUUACUAAGGCAAGUAAGUGCCUACUUCUGCUCGGUCAGUGAAAGACUAGCAGCUAAUUUCUUGUAAAAAUUUUACUAAGGCAAGUGAGUGCCUGCUUCUGCUUGGUCAACAGAAGACCAGUAGCUAAUUUACGAGAACUUUACUAAGGCAAGUGAGUGCCUGCUUCUGCUCGGUCAACAGAAGACCAGCAGCUAAUUUAUGAGAACUUUACUAAGGCAAGUGAGUGCCUGCUUCUGCUCGGUCAACAAAAGUCCAGCAGCUAAAGCUUCGAAAAUUCUACUAAGGCAACAAAGUGCCUGUUUCUGCUCGGUCAACGAAAGACCAACAGCUAAAGCUUCGAAAAUUCUACUAAGGCAACAAAGUGCCUACUUCUACUCGGUCAACAGAAGACCAGCAGCUAAUUUACGAGAACUUUACUAAGGCAAGUAAGUGCCUGCUUCUGCUCGGUCAACAAAAGACCAGCAGCUAAUUUACGAGAACUUUACUAAGGCAAGUGAGUGCCUGCUUCUGCUCAGUCAACGAAAGACCAGCAGCUAAAGCUUCGAAAAUUCUACUAAGGCAACAAAGUGCCUGUUUCUGCUCGGUCAACGAAAGACCAGCAGCUAAAGCUUCGAAAAUUCUACUAAGGCAACAAAGUGUCUACUUCUGCUUAGUCAACGAAAAACCAGCAGCUAAAUUUACGAAACCUUGACUAAGGCAAGUAAGUGUCUGCUCCUGCUCGGUCACUGAAGACCAGCAGGCAAUUUUGCAAAAAUUUUACUAAGACAAACGGAUGCCUAUUCCUGUUCGAUGCACUAAAGAACCAACAGGCAAAACCAGACAAGAAAGCCAAUAGAGAGCAUUCAAAAAAUUUUAUAAACGUUCAAAUGUUUACAAAGCAAAUGAAAAACUAGAGUCUUUACAAAAAUAAGACCUAAGGAUUAGGAGGAUCAACGGCCUCAGCAGGUGAAGGGUCAGCUAUCUCGGGAGGUGGAAGGUCAGUAAUAUCGGGAGGUGGAAGGUCAGCAAUAUCGGGAGGAGGAGGCACGGACCUCUGUCCUACUUCAAAAACACGCUGCCCAGCUUCUCCCUCCUGCACCCCAUCCAAAGGAGCCUCCACCUGCUCCUGCUCACCCUGCUCCUUAUCUGCUUGGUCGACCUCUGCCAUAUACCGCUGCACUCCGGCCUCCAGCUUGCUCAUGUCCAGCUCGGGAUAUUCAGUCUUAAGCACAGACAUGAUGCACUUGUAGGAGAAGGCAACCCCAAAAUCAUACUCGGCAUCCAGCCGAUCAUCCACAUCAGCGGAUUUGCCUCUCUCCUCAGUCAGCUGCUCACCCAAGGAUUUGAUUUCCCCCUCAAGGGCGGCCCUCAAAGUAUUCCUUUCAGUUUGAGUAGCUUGAAGAUCAGAUCUCAGGUCACCCAACUCGCCCUCGAGUUUGGAGGAAGUGGAUUCAGCAACCGCAACCUUCUCCUCUAGCUCCGUAAUCUCCUUGUUCAGCUCAGCCAGCUUCUCCUUGGAGCGAUCAACAGAGUCAGCUUUCUUCUUCAAUUCCUGAUUAUCAGCUUGGAGCUUCCUCUCAUGGCGCGCGGACCCAAUCUUAUAGCACGAAACCAUAGUGGCCAACCUGAAGGACACUCUCUGAACAGAAGCAGCUAGCUCGGAGAGGUUCAUACUCUCGAUGUCCUUCACCAUCUUGGGCCCCACCGAUUUCUUGAAAUCCUUCUGAUACGGGCUCAGGUAGUCUGCUUGAUCCCGAGAUGGUAGAGGAGAAGAUCGGUCCCCAGACUGGUGGCUGGCCUCAGGACUCUUGUCAGAAGUUUUCUCCCCGCCACUCUUACGGGGUGGGGGAGGGGGCAGAGCAGGGACAGGAGCCUUGGAAGGGCCGACGCUGGUUUUCUUCGGAGGAGGAGGGGGGUUGCUGGAGCUACUUGGAGCUCGACCACUCUUCCUGCUCAUUGCGCUAAGGAUCGUGUUAUCCAUUCCAACAGCUAGGUCCACUAGGCCCGAACCGACCAGGCUUGUUGGGGACAGGAGGUCUUGGCAGGUAGAAGCGUUAAACAGAGCAGUUUCCACCCAAAGCAAAGGUCGAUCUUCAAGCCCCCCGAUUAAACCCCACGAUUCUGAAAUAGCAAAAGAGGUUAAAGAACUCGAUAAGUGACAAUUUGACUAAGAACAUAGGCAAAAAUGAACGACCUGGGGUGACAAAAUGUGUGGGAAGAUAAAUGUCCCCACCAAGCGACCGAACCGCUGGACACCAAUUCCCUCCAGCAAAGAAGAAUUUGUUCUUCUAAUUUUUACAUGAAGAGGGAAACCCAAUGAUCGGUUUCCUCUUUGCAGAACUGGACAUAAAGUAGUACCAGCCCGCUUCCCUCGGGCUACUCCGCAGCUGGUACAGAUAUUUCACUUCAACAAGGGAAGGCUCCUCCGACCCGCACCUCUCUCACAACACAAACAUUGCCGAGAGAACCCUCCACCCAUUUGGGUGUAGCUGACCUGGGGCUAGGUGCAUAUCGCCCAAUAUCUUGGCAAAAUAACGUUGAAGGGGCAGCCGAGCUCCUAGUCUGAAACUCUCCAAAUGCAUCGUCACAUACCCUUUCGGAGGCCGACUAGGGACAUCACCUUUUCCAGGAACUACAAGAAGAACAUCGUUGGGGAUGUCGUAGAGGUUCCUAAGCUUAAAUAGAUCAGUGGGGGUGGUGGCACAAGCUAUGAAAUCAAUAGGGUAGGAAUCAGCCUCCACCCUAUGGCCAAGAUGCCUUUUUUUAGCAGGUCCGCUCGGUCCGAAACUACUCCCCUCACCAUCACCAGUUCCUUCAGGGAUCCCAACCCCACUAAAGCCGUGGUCCUCACCAGAGCCCGACGCAGGCCCACCUCUAUUCCCUACAAGCUCUAGUUCGGGGGAGGGAGAGACAACCAAGGGUCGUGGGUACUCAAGGGUAUCCUUACCAUGGGAAGGACCUACACUACUGGAGGGGCCUAAGAAAUCUGUGGGUAUUGACACGUUGAGGCCUGAAUCCCCUGAUUCUUCAUCACCCUCGUCAACAAUUAACUUUCUUUUCCGAUUUGACAUAUCAGAAUCCCAAAAGAAAAACAAAGAAAAGAAAGUUUAGGGUUGACAAGGUUUGACUAUCAAUUUCUACUCUUGACUCAUUUCACUCACAAGACCAGAAACUGGGGGACUGGUGUUAAGCGAAUAAAAGCACCAGGUCGGCCAUACUAUUAUUGCCACCCCGGCAUGGAUCACCUCAGCCCUGUGGUACGAGCAGAGCACAGGGGCACACACCAACUAGAUGUUCAUAUCGAACCGAUAUACAUUCCCCAGAAAAGCGGGAACACGAUCCCACAGAAUCACGGCAGUUGUGCUUUGCCCAGAACCGUUGAAGGGCACGGGAGAUCCCACGUUUGCCACAAUGCAACAAUCAGAGCCCCAUGAGGGGCGGCCACCACCCGAAAAAGGGGGGAUAGAGGGUAAGCGGAAAACGUGGGACAAACAGCGGCUAUAAAAGAAGAGGAAAUCGAUGAAGAAAAGGACACUGAAAAAUUGAGAGGGGAAAAUGCUGCCAAAUUACAACCAGACCAUUUUCUUACAAAUUUCGAACAAACUUCUUGAAUCCAAAUUACAUUGUUUUCCCGUAAACACCUUGUACUAACUUAGGCAUUGGAGGGUUUACGCCGGCAAAACCACCGGCGUCUCUUAUCCGUUUUUACUGAACGCAGGUCUAGUGAGAGAAAUGAGGGUGAUUCCAGCCUUAGCGGUUCGUGCAACAGUCGAUAUCUUAAACGUUGGUGAAAGAAUCUGGUCGGUCCAAGGACGAGCAGAUUUCGACAUCAACAAUGGCAACUCCACAAUGAUGAUAAUGAUAAUUUUGUGAUUCAGACACGUUGUUAGGAAUUCUGUAUUGGUUUUUCUCUCGCCUUCGAUGUCUACGAUGAAGCAUAUUAUGGCUUUUAAUCUGCAACUGCUGCAAAAUGGACUCACUAGCUAGCAAAUAAUAAUAUAUAGUGCUGUCAAAUUUAUAAAGAUUAUAUAUACACACACUUUCGUGUUCAAUGCACCGACACUAGAUGUAUAUUGGCAUUUAGAAAAAUUGGCAAUAACUAAUGACUUUCAAGAUUAAUUAAAUGACAAUAUUCAGUCUAUCAUAAAACAAGUUUUCAACAAGUGAAGAGGAGGUACUCUUUAUAAUUGGAUAAUUAAUGCAACCUUCAAUAUUUUCAACCAAAAAAAAAAUGAUAUUUGAUAUGUAUUCAACAUUAGGGAAAAACCUCCCAUAUCGAAGGUUUGCUUAAACGAUCAAAUAAAUCCACUUAGUUUCGUAAAUGGUUGUACAUAUCCUCUUUUUGACUAUUUAUUGGGUUAUGUUUGAGAGUUAGGACUAAGUGUGGGAUUAUACUAACUUUGAGAUUAAAUAUUAUUCUAUAUUUAGCAAUUUUCCUUAGAUUGGAUUAUGAGAGACUAAAUUCUAAGUUAGUUGUUAAAUAAAGGGGAUUGGCAAUACCAAUUUAUAAAUAGAUUUAAAUGGGAUUAGAAUAAGAGGAUAAAAUGUUCAUUUGUAAUAUUUCUUUCAUAUAUAACACCAUCUUUUAUUUAUUACUUCAAAUUUAAUUAAUGAAUUAAUUAUUUUAUUCAUGAUUUACUUGAAAUAUAUUUUUUAUUUUGUUUUUAUAUUCUAAUUAAAUUGGUACUUUAAUUUAAUAAUUUUUUACAUUAAUUGAUUGUACUAAAUUUAAUAAUCACCAAUGUGAUAUUAAAAUAUAAUUAUGAAAAUUAAUAAUACUAGUAAUUAAUUGAUUUUAUAUAUUAUUUGCUAAUUUUUUGAUAAAAUAAAAUAUAUAUCUAAAAUAUCUAAAUAAUCAAAAAGUUUUAUUAAUUUAUAUUUUUUAUUACAAUUAUGACUACCCAUAAGUAAUUUACUGUAUAUUUAAUGUUCUUAUUAAUUAUAUUUAAAUUAAUCUUAAUUAUUAUUCUUAAAUAUUCAUAAAUAGUUUUUUAUUUAAAUAUAAUUUAAUAUUGUCUAAUCCAAUGUUGUACUAAACAUAAGACAGUAGUGUAUAAUCCAACAUAACACUUAGUCCAAUUUAGUCUUGCAUGCCAAAUGUAAUCUUAUACACUUUGAUUACAACAAGCCAAUAAUUGACUUAAAUAAACUUCUAUAAAAUUAUAAGUUAAAAUUAAAAUAGUAUGAUAUAUAAAAUAAGAUAAAAUUUAUAAAUUAUUUUGAAUAUUAGAAAAAUGAUUUUAACAUUAUUAAUUUGUCAUAUUCUUUUACUACUAAUAAAAUUUGUUUGACAAAUUAAUAAUAUUAAAAUAAUUAUACCUAACAUUCACAAUAAUUUAUAAAAUUUAUAUAUUUUGUUAGCAAUUUUUUUAAUUAUGUCUAUAUUAAUAUAAAUCUUAAAGUCAAUUUUUGGAUUAAUAGAUUUUAGUAUAUAUAAUAAUAACUUAAUAUUAAAAAUAAUUUUCAUUACAUACGUUAUUCUAUUAAUUAUCUUAUUGUAAUAUUUUAUUUGUAUCAUAUGAUAUUUAUUAAUUAUUUUUUUAUCUUAUUAGUAUAUUUAUAUUUAUUUGUGUUGUUGUAAUCAAAGGGUAUAGUAACUAAAAAUGUGUUUAUGUGACUAUUUAACCUAAAGGGUCUUUGUGACCAUUUAAGUAAACCUUGGAAAUGUGUGACAAUAGUCAUUCUAAUGACUUUCAAGAUUGAAAGUGAGUCGGAUUAUCAAAUUAUGAAGCAUUAAUACGUAAUGUUUUAUGGUUAUUUUAAGGUUGAAGCUGGUUUAUUCAUUAAACAAGCUUUUAACAAGAGGAGAAAGUUCCCUUUAAAAUUUAAUAAUUAAUACAACCUUCAAUAACAAAAAAGUCAUAUAAUAAGGAUGAUGAUUCUUGUUCACUUGGAUACAUAUAUAUAACCUAUGAUGUGGUAAGCAAGGUAUCAAUUAUGUAUUUCUUGUAUCUGAAAAAAUGAAUAAUCCUUUAACGAAGGUUAUCAUCAAUUGCAGGUUUCUAGUUUGGCUGCUUAGUUUUAGGACUACGAAUUUUACAAUAUCAUAAUUAAAGGAAAGAAUAUAUGCGGUAGUCUUUGCCUGAUCUACUUUCUUCUUCUUAAUUAACCACUUAAAAGGAAAGAAUAUUGUAUACGCAGCGCACUAUAAUACUCUAAUUACCAAUUCUUUAUCUUAUAAUAUAAGUUCAUAGUGAUUAAUUUGCCCUUCUCCAGCAAAAAAACAAAUCCCAUUUCAGCACAUCUACAAGAGCCCUCAUUUCUCUUUGCUCCAGCCAAUUGAUAGCAGAAUCAUCACAGACACCUUGAGCUCCGUCAAUCAUCAUAGACAAUUGGUGACUAGUGGGAGCAUUACAAGGAAGGUACGACGAGUACAAACUGAUAGAUUUGUUUAUAUGAUUCGGCUGUAGUUUUUAUAUAUGGUUAAAUUAUGACAAUAAUCAAGAGAUAAUCAUGUACCUCAUUAGUUUCAUAAAUGUACAUACUAAUUUAUUCCCCUGCUUGCCAGAAUCAAACAUGUAGAAUAAGAUAAAUUUUAAGAUUUAAACUUUUCAAUUCAUUAAAAAUCUAGUGGGAUAUUAAUCGGUAAAACCACUUCGGGGUAGUACAAGAGGUUUGUGGUGCUAACCAAUUUAUGUGAGUGGAGAAAGAAUUAGGCUUUUUUAAUAAAAAUUAAUAAUCAUAAUAAUAAAAGGACAUAAAUUUCAAGAUUUAAAACUUUAGACUUCAUUAGAAGUAAGAGGGGGAUCGUAAAAAAUUUGAAUGUAACUUAUCGAUCGUGGAAUGGAUUUUUUUUUUUUUUUUGUUGCAGCUAUUUACACACCUUUGAACACAUGUUAGGGUGAGGGUAUUUCAAUAUUUUACCCACAUCUCAAUAAAAUAUUUUGAGGUGAUGCUACCACUAAACAACUCAUUAAACUCAUUUACUUAAUACACACACUUCUAAAAUUUAAAAUGCACAAUUUUAUUUUACAAACCCAUUAAUACCUAAAAUACCCUUAUUAAGUUAAAUUAUCACAAUUUCUCUUAUCAUUUUCUUUUCCCAUCAUUUCUCCGUUUCUUCACUCUUUUCUUCUUCAUUUUUGGAGCUUUACCCAUAGCUUUUUUAUUCCAAAUUCUCAAACUUUUUAUUUUAUUUUUUAAUAGCUAUUUUUCCCGUUGAUAUUUCAUGCGUUUAUAUGAUUCAGCUAUAGUUUUAACUUUUAUAUAUGGUCAAGUUAUAACAGUAAUCAAGAGAUAAUCAUGUUCAUCAUAAGUUGCAUAAAUGUACAUACUAAUUUAUUCCUCUACUUGCCAGAACCAUACAUAUAAAAUGAGAUACAUUUUAAGGUUUAAUCUUAGGGUUGGCAAUAAGCUCCGGAUCCAGCCCAGAUCCGCAACAAUCCGGAAGAUCCGGAUCUGGAAAAAUACGGAUCCGCAUGCUAAAAAAUGCGAAUCCAGAUCUUAAAAAUCACAAUCCGUGCGGAUCCGGAUGUAAGUGCAUCCGGAAAACCGAAUAUCUGGAUCCACAAUUUUUUAUAAUUAAAUUAUUUAUUUAAUUAAAUUUCAAUUGAAAAAUAGAUAAAUUAAAUUAUUUAUUUAAAUGUAUAAGCAUAAUUAACUCUCUAGUCUUCAUUAACUUUAAAAAAUAUGUUAAUAAACUAAUAAUAAUUAUAAUAAUUAGAGAAUAUUGUAAUAAAUCGGUUUACCUUACAUUUUUUUUAUGCUUGAUUUAUAUUGUGAAAUUAUUAUUUGUGAAUUUAUGGUGUUGUUGUAUGUUAUUUAUGUUGAAUUGAAGUUAAAUUGUUGAUUCUUAAAUUAUAAUUGAAUUUUAUUUAAUAUUAUUAUGUAAAUUAUUAAAUAAAAUUAUAUUUAAAUUUAUUAUUAUGCAUAUCCGAAUAUCCGGAAUAUCCGUCCGCAAUUUGUGCGGAUGUUAUCCGCAUCCGGAUUCUUAUUUUUUUUUGCGGAUCCGGAUGUCAAAAGUUUAAUCCGGAUCCAGAUGCACUAAGAUCCGGAUCCAGAUCCAAAUUUUGCCAUCCCUAGUUUAAAACUUUGCAAUUCGUUAAAAAUCUUGCGGGAUAUUAACCGAUAAAACCACUUAGGGAUAGUACAAGAGGUUUAUGAUUUCUCAACCCAUUUAUGUGGGUGGAGAGAGAAUCAAGUGUUUUUUUAAAUAAAGAAUAAUUAAUAAUUAAUAAUCAAAUUAAUAAAAAUAAAUAAAUUGUAAGGGGGAUCGUAAAAGUUUUGUAUGUAACAUAUCGGUAGUGGAAAGAAUUUUUUUUGGAGAGGCUAUUUGGCUUGGAACAUAUAUUACAAUACUCUCUUCAUCCACUUCUCAAUAAAAUAUUUUAUUAAAAAAAUUUCCUUAAUUGAAUUAUUGUUUUAGCCAUAUAUUAUGUUCGUUUAUCUCCCUAAAGUUUUUAUUCUUUCACCCUUUUUUCUCUUUUCCUCUGUGUCUCCCCAAUUUUUUUCCAGUCCUAUGGGGUUCUUAUUAAAGCUUCUAUUGAGUAAAAUCUAUAUUAAAAUUUCUUAUAAAAAAAAAAGAAAAAAAGAAUUCGUCUCUUUUAAAAAUUGUCUUUCCUUCCUUUACCCUUGAGUUACUAUUAGAUGUAUAAGCUCAAGAUGAGACUAGUAAUUGGAUUUCCAUUAAAAGUUUUAAUUUCAAAAAAUCAAAAGAUCACCAUACAAAUAUCAAAAGGUCACUAACUUAAUUAUACUGGUAAUAAUUAAGAUAAAUAAAAGACCUACUAUUUCUGUUUGAUGUUAUUAUGAUAAAGAAAGAAAAAAAAGAAAUAGCAAGUUGCUGUAGUUGCAACAAUUGAGGAUAUGCUAAUAAAAGUGUUACAGAGAUAGAUUUAAUUGAUAAAAAUAAGAUUUUAAUAAAAAGUUUUGAGAGAAACAAUUAAUAAAAACUAAUGAUAUUUAUUAAGGGUAUAUUAUGAAUAUUUGUGGCCUUUUUUGAGAUAAUUAAAUAAAUUUUAAGUUGUGAUAAUGUGUUUAUUACAUAAGUGGAUUUAUUCAGUAUUCUAGUGGAUUUAAGUAGUCUCAACUCUCAUAUUAUAAUAAAUUUUUAUAUUGCUACAAUUGCCCUAAUAUAGUGGACAGUAUUAUAUUGUACACAUAAGAAUACUCUAGCACCCAAUUAAAAUUUUUAGUAAAACAUAUAAGAACUCUAAAUGUAAAGAGAAUUCCGUCAAGGUAUUGCAGUAGUAUUUAAUGCUCUUGGCUAGUGUAAACUAUUGUGCCACAUGUAGUAUUUCGAUCCUGACAAGUGCAUUACAAAUAAUGACUCUUAUUUCAGGUCUUUUAGGUACUUUAGAGAUAUAUUAGCUAUGGAGCUAGUAUUAGGUCAUCACGUGCUUCUUUUAAUGAAAGAUGUGGUUCAUUUUUCCCUAUACCAAAGCAUUUUCUGUGGAAUAAUCGUGUCAAAUGCUCAUUUAUCAAGGGCACGUGUGGUGUUGUCAGUAUGAUAUGCUAACCCACGUGCACUUAUGGAAAAUCAAAUGAGAAAAAUGAAUUAAAAAAUACAAAAGCUAAUUAAUAAUGUUCGAGUUUGAGAUGAAGAAUAUUUAAUUUUAUGGAUAUAAAGAUAAGAAAUAUUUAAUGAGAACUAUCCUAAUAUUAAAAUACUAUUUCAAAUAAAUUUUAUUUGACGUAAUAGUAUGUCUCAUAAUAAGACUCAUCGAUGUCAGAAUCGUACAUGUAAAAUGAGAUAAAUUUUAAGGUUUAAAACUUUGCAAUUCAUUAAAAAAUCUAGUGCGAUUUUAAUUGGUAAAACCUCUUAGGGGUAGUACAAGAGGUUUAUAAUUCCCUAAUCCAUUUAUGUGGGUGGAGAGGGAAUUAAGAGUUUUUUAAUAAAGAAUUAAUAAAAAUUAAUAAUCAUGUUAAUAACUUAUUGGUAGUAGAAUGGAAUUUUAUUUGGAGAGGCAAUUUGGCUCAGAACAUAUAUUAAAAUGAGGAUAUUUGAACCCACCACAAUACUCUCUACAUCCACUUUUCAAUAAAAAAUUUAUUACAAAAUUUUCCUUAAUUAAAUUAUUAUUUUAGCCAAAUAUUACGUUCAUUUAUGUCCCUAAAGUUUUUAAUUUUUAACCCUUUUUUCUCUUUUCCUGUUUGUCUCCCCAAUUUGUUUCUAGUCCUAUGUGGUUCUUAUAUUUUAAAGCUUCUAGGAGUAAAAUCUCUACUAAAAUUGAUUAUCAAAAAAAAAAAUCUCUUUUAAAAUCUGCCUUUUCUUUAUCCCCAAGUUACUAUUAGAUGUAUAUGUUCACCGUGAAAGUUUAGAUCUCAAACCUUUUCUGUAUCUUAAAUGGAUUGUCGUGGAUAUGCCUAAGAUGAGCAUUUUCUUCCUCUUCACUUCAUCAUCUUUGAUAUAGUAAUUAUAAUUGAUUGAGGAGUGUUAAAACGCAUUGUGAUGAAUGAAUGCACAAGCUAUGUGAUUAAGACUGCAUUUAUCAGCUGGUGGGCGACCGCAAAUAUUAGGCAGGUUAUUCACAAUAGUGCUACUGAAGCUUUAUAUGGAAUAAGGAGACCAAGCCUCUAUAUGAUAAGAGUUGUAUGAAUACCAAAUGAAUUGUAAGAGGAUAUGGUUAAUUUAGAUUGCAAUUUAAGAAAGCUUGAAUUCUAAGAGCACAGAAAUGGGAUCAGUCUUGCUCAAGUGUAAACUCCGUCAGUUAGGAAGCUGUCCAUCAAAUGUAAAUAUUUAUGUGAUUGAGAGAAAUUUUGGACUUUUGUUGAAAACAAAAAUGCUGUUUGCAUUUGCUUGCCCCCAAGGAUAUAUGUUGUGCAAGCAUAUAUGUUGAGACCGGCAGAUGAAAUCACUAAACUUUUACAGUUGAUCUGAGGCUCCUCUAAAGAAGGAUUUGGAUUUUGGAAUUAAUUUGGGGAAAGGGUUUUUUUUGGGUAUAUGAGUGUAAGCGUUCCUUCAAUCACGUAGCUUUGUGCCAUUAACAUAAUGGCAAUUCCACAAUGGGGAUAAUGAUAAUUUUGUGAUUGGGAACUCUUUACUGGUUUUUCUUUCGCCAUCUGUGUCUAUGAUUAAGGUUGUUUAAAGUGUUAUGGCUUUUAAUCUAUAACCAUUGUGAAAUGGACUCACUAGCUGGCAAAUAAUAAAACAUAGUGCUGUCAAAUUUUGUAAGGAUUAUGCAUACACACUCUUUCGUCUUCAAUGCCCUAAAACUGGGUAACUACAUGUAUGAUUUUCAUUCAGAAAAACUGGCAAGAACUAAUGACUUUGCAGAUUAAAAAAUAAGUAGGAUUAUCAGAUUAUGUAGCAUUGUUAUGUAAUGUCUUGUGGUUUUUUUAAGGUUAAAGUUGGUUUGGAAAUUAAUUAAAAGACGAUAUUCAUUCUAUCAUGACGAGUUUUUAACAAGAGGAGAAGGUUCCUUUUAUAAUUUACUAAUUUAUACAGCCUUUAAUAUUAAAACAAAAUUUUAUAUAUUAAGGACGAUGAUUCUUGCUCACUUAGUAAGAUAUGUACAUAACAUAGGUUUGUUAAGCAAGGAAUCAAUUAUGUAUUUCUUGUAUCUGAAAAAAUGAAUCAUCCUUUAACGAGGGUUAUCAUCAAUUGCAGGUUUCUAGUUUGGUUGCUUGGUUUGAGGACUAUGAAUAUUACAUUGUCAUAACUAAAGGAAAGAAUAUAUGCCAUGGCCUUUGGCUGGUCUACUUUUUUCUUUUCAAUUAACCUCUUGCGGGGAAAGAAUAUUGUAUAACACAGCACACUAUAAUUACCAAUUCUUUAUCUUAUAAUAUAAGUUCAUAGUGAUUAAUUUGUCCGUCUUCAGCCAAAAAAAAAAAAAGUCCCAUUUCAGCACAAAUACAAAAGCUCUCAUUUUUCUUUGCUCCGGCCAUUUUAUAGCGGUGUCAUCACAGACACCUCAAGCUCUGCCGAAUCAUCAUAGACAAUUCGUGAUUGGUGGGAGCAAAUUGAAAGUGUUUAUAAAUAUAACUUAACAAUUCACUAGAUAGCUUGGAUUCAAAAUUAGAAAUAUCAAUCAAUAAAAUAGGAAGAAAAAAUAUUGGAGGUAAUUGGAAUUAGUCUCAAAUUUCAAUUAAAAAAAGCGUGCAGUUUCAUAUAUUAAUUCACUGAACCAUUUUUUUAUUUUUAUUUUUUUUUGCUGGAAAAACGAGUUUCCCAGAUCUGUCCAUUGUCAAAAUCAACUGAUGAACCACCACACUUCGUCGCAUCGCCAUUCACCAACAGCCCCAACUUUUGAGUCUCGUACCCUUGUUAAACAAAUACACAAUAAAACAGUGAGAUAACAAAUUAUAUGUUAGCUAAUUUAAACAAUAGUGUAAACUAGGAAUCGGAAACACUAAAUGAAGAACAGAAGAGGCAGAAACUGAAUCGAAAUAAAAAAAAUUGAAACCCGAGGCCUGCACAAACACAGUCUCCUUAAAACAGAUUUACCACCUUUACGGAGUGCUUAAGGUUUGCUAGGUAUAUGUUUCCCAGGAUGCAACGGGUACGAUUUUCCAGUCAAGCACAGGCUGGAAAUUCCGACGAACCACAACCAGCGAACUCGAUCAAAGAAAAACGAAGAAGGAUGAAGGGAAAACAAGUGUGGUUUGUGCUCGUUUUUGCAAGUAGAAAAAACAGAAGUGAAGGUGCCUUUUUAUACUCAAGGGAGGAUGUAACAGCUUUUGUAUUGAAUUUUCGAAUUCAAUACAUUUUAAUUAUUUUGUUAUAACAGCCAAAUCAAUUUAAUAAAUUGAUUUCAAAAUUGAAUUCAAACAAAACGUGAAUAACAGCUAAAUAAUUGUAAAAGCUGUUACCAAUGCUUUGAAUUCACAUGAACUGUUACAAUAAAAAAUUCAAAAGGAAUUAAAAACGUGCCUAGCUUGCAUGGAUGAUUUUGGGCUGACAUUCGUGUACGCAGGACGCGCACGAGUUCAACUAAAUCGGGCUUGGAUUCGCACCCCCCCCUGCGCACGCGCGUGUGGAGAGAGCCUCUAUCCUCAUAAUUCUUACUCAUGCAUGGUUAAGUGUUUAUAUUUAAACACUAAUUCCUAGGCUUCUUUUUCCCAUGUGGGAUAAGACUCAUUUCCUUUUAAAUUUCCAACUUCAAGGGUGAACUUUGAGAGACAAUUUCUCAUUCACCCAAGCACCAUUUUGAGAAAAUAAAAUUAUACUAUUGAAGUAUUAACGGAGUAGAAUCCGAACCUCACAAUAUUUUCCACUUUCGUUAAGUGGGACCCACUCAAAAUGUGCUCUCAAAAUAGCAUGUUAUGCUAUUUUUCCAACAACCCUUACUUCAAUAAUCCAGACCCAAGAUGUCAUCAAUACCCAAACCCUCAAUUUCAUCUUCUUCUUCUUUUUUUAAUUGACCCAAGAUCUGCCAAAUAUUAUGUUAAUUAAUCUCCCUAAGGCUUUUAUUUUUUUCACCCUUUUUUCUCUUUUCCUCUCCGUCUCCCCAAUUUUUUUUCUAGUCCUGUGUGGUUCUUAUACUUUAAGGUUUCUAUUGGAGUAAAAUCUCUAUUCAAAUUGCUUAUCCAAUUUUUUUUUUCUUUUAAAAUUUGCCUUUCCUUUACCCUCGAGUCACUAUUAGAUGCAUAUGCUUGUGAUGAAACUUUAGUAAUUGGAUUUCUAUUAAAUAUUUUAAUUUAAAAAAAUGAGAAGAUCACUAUAAAAAUAUCAAAAGAUCACCAACUUAAUUAUAGCAAUAAUCAAGGGAAUUAAAAGACUUACUAUUUCUGUUUGAACUUAUUAUUAUAAAGAAAGAAAGGGAAAAAAAAAGUCGCUGCAACUACAUCAAUUGAGGACAUGCUAUGAAAAGUAUCAUAGAAAGUAGUGAGAGAAACAACUAAUGAAAAUUAAUGAUACUUAUUGAGGGUAUAUUGGGAAUGUUUGUGGGUUUUUUGAAUGAAAAAAUAAAAUUUUAAGUUGUGAUAAUGUGUUUAUUAUAUAAAUGGGUUUAUUCAGCAUUACAAUGGGUUUAAAUGGCUUUAUCCUUCAUAUUAUAAUAAAUUUUUAUAUUACUAUAAUAGCCGUAAUAUAGAGGACAAUGUAAUGAAAAUAUUGUUACUGUUAUACUUAUUAAAGAAACAAUAUUAUCUUGUACAGACAAGAACACUCCAGUGCUCAAGUGUAAAAGUUUUAGUAAAACGUAUAAGAACUCUUAAGUGUAAACAAAAUUUCAUCAAGGUGCUGUAAUAUAAUCUAAUGCUUUUUGGUAGUGUAAACUAUGUGUGCCACGUGUAGUAUUUCAAUCUUCACAAGUGGCAUUGUAAAUAAUGGCUCUUAUUUCAGUUCCUCGUAGGCACUCUAGUAUUUGGUCAUCACGUGCUUCUUUUAAUGAAACAUCUGGUUCAUUUUAUCCUUAUAUGAGAGCAUUUUGUGCGGAAUAACCAUGUCAAAUGCUCAUUUAUCAAGGACACGUGUUGUGUUCUCAGAACAUAGUAAAAAUAUGAUACGCUAACCCAUGUACAUUUAUGGAAAAUCAAAUGAAAACAAAGAACUAAAAAAAAGUACAACGGCUAAUUAAUAAUGUUUGAGUUUGAGAUGAUUAAUAUUUAAUUUUAUGGUUGUAAAGAUAAGAAUAAAAGUACGGCUAGUGAGGACUAUCCUCAUAUUAUAACACUAUUUAAAAUAAAUUUUGUUAUAAAAAAUUUUAUUCAAUUAGGUAUAUAUUUUAGGUACAAACUCAGCUAUUUGACAUAAUAGUAUGUCUCAUAAUAGGACUAACAUUUGGUCAAAUCAACCUAUUUCAAUAAGAUCCAUCGAAAUUAAUAUUUAAAAGAUUUAUCAUCUCAUUAUACAAUACACAACUUUGCCAUCUAGUAGAGAAUGAUUGGUUGGCACACCAUAGUUUACAUAAAUAUUUCUAAUAUUUGAAUCAUUUGUUAGGAAAUUUUAAUCCUACCAAUAUCUUGUAAGUAAACAUAUCAAAUAAAUAGUAAAUAGAUAAUAUAUAGAGAAUAAAACCAAUCAUACAACACAAUAAUUUACCCGAGAAAAAUUCCUACACUAGAGAAAAACCACGGCCGCCAAAGAUGACGAAAGAAAAUCCACUAUGUAAAGAUCAUUACAAUCACUCUAGUAUUUUCUUCACUUACAAAACCCCAAUAACAAAUAAUCUCUCAUUCUAGAAACUGUCUACUUGUAUAGAACUAAUUAUUGCAAACAAGUGAAUCUAACCUUCUUAUAUAUUGUGAUUGUUUCAUAUAAGAGAAAUAUUUAUUUCCUUAUAUAAUUUGUAUUCCUCCUUUAAUAAAUUCUUUGGAAUUACUUAUUCCUUAAACAUGAACCCCCCAAACAAAAAAAUUACUAGGAAAUAUUUUAAUUUAGGAUUUACAAAUCCUCAUUGAAAAAGGAGAUAUGUUACUUCAAAAUCUCCACUUUGGCGAGUUUUUUAAUUAAACGACAAAAUAUGAUCCGCCAUACAUCUAUGCAACCAUGUCGUCUCCACCUUUUUUAGUAUACUAAAACCACACUGACAUUGGACUAAUGAGAAUCACUCCACCAUGAGUAAAAUCUUGUCCUCUAUCCAGCAACCAUAAUUUUCUACAUCGAGAAUCAUCAUACUUCACAUUAUCCAGAGUACACAUGUUUGGCAUAUGUCGAUCACAUUUCCGAAGUUACCCACUCUCAUGUUUGGCUUCUUUGAGAGUCCUCAACGAUCAAGAUAAAAAGUCCACCACAUACCUUGCAUAAAUACUAAACUACAUGUUGUGUGCACAUCUUGUGGACCCAUUAGCAAUAACACAUCCUCUUCCACGACACACCAAUAGAUGAGAUAAUUAGUAUCUCCUUCUAUUAAUUUACAGCUACUUUCCAAAUUUGCUAUAUUCUAACAAUCUCUUUUAAGAUGUUUUGAUUACCUACACUCCUCCAGGGGUUUCUACUAGUGGAAUAGGCCUGACAUUGCUCUUUGCUUUACUUGUAUAGACAGAUUGAAUCAGUAUGUUAUUGACUUGAGCUUCCCAAAAGCCAAAAUUAAUUAUUCCGUCAAAUUUUUCUAUUUCUAUCUUCAUAAGUUUUGAAAACCUCCUUGCUGACGUAUUUGCUCUACAUUGCAGCCUUAGCUCUAUUAUCACCUGCUAAGAAAUAAUUAAUCUCACCUAAGAUUUGCAAGAAAAAAUAUGAAAUAAAUAGUAAAUAGAAAAUAGGUGGAGAAUAAAGCUAAUAAAAUAAUACAAAAAUUUACAUGAAAAAUUUCUAUAUUGGAGAAAAAUUAUAAUAGCUAAGGACGAUAAGAGAAAAAUUUAUUAUGUAAAAAUUAUUAUAAUUACUCUAGGGUUUUUCUCACACCUAAAACACCAAAAGCACCUAAUUUUAAUAGAACUACUUUUCUCUCACACUGAAAACUAUUUACUUAUAGAUAACUGAUUGUUGAAUUAUGCAGAGAAGUAAACUCAAUCUCUAUAUAUAUAUGUAGUGAUUAUUUCAUAUAGAAGUUGCAUUCUUUUCCUUAUAUGAUUUGUAUUCCUCCUUGAAUAAGUUAAGUUCUAAAGAGAAAAUUACUUAUUUCUUAAAUAUGAAUUAUCUUCAAUAAGAAAACUGAAAAGUGUAGAAAAUUCCUAAUUUAAGACUUAAAAAUCUUAUUUGAAAAAAGAGACAUCUCCCAAUAUCUUCAAAUCCUCCUUACAAUGCCACCAAUCUCUUUUGUGACUAGCCCAGUUGAAACUUUUAAUGGAUGGGCUGUAAUUGCGAAUAUCCAAAUAAAACAAAUUUCCAUAGGUAUAUUGGUAGAUUGAAUGACAACUAACAACACAUGAUUUGAUUAACUUACUUCCAAAAAAAAAGAAAAAAAAGAUACAAUGGAUGAACAUUAGACUCUUGUGCCAACUCAUGGAAUUCAUCAAUAAGGCCUUGGCUGAUCCACCUCAUGACUAGUAGAGUUCAAACCCCCGCUAAAUAGUAAAAAAAUAUUUGGAUUAUUAAUUACUCUUUCUUAAGUCUAUUUAAACUUAACUUUGAGAAUUAUGAACGUCUACACUAUAAUUAAAACAAUACAAGCCCACCCGUUUGUAUUUAAAAUUUUGUUUGAAUUUAUUCACGAGCAACAAGAAUAGUAUAAAUGGAAAAAAAAACCAUCAAAUAAUAUCCCAUGACUCUGUUUCUUCAAUUUCAGGAACAAUGGUGGAAUCAUAUUUUCCGAUUGAAAAACUUUUGGAAAAAUUAGGGAGCUUUGCUUAUGAAGAACUUUUAUUGUUCUGCGGUGUCAAAAAUGACUUACAAAAGUUAAAGGAGACGUUAACCACUGUCAAAAGUGUGGUUUUGGAUGCUGAGGAAAAGCAAAUCCAUAAUCACCGGUUAAGCGAUUGGCUGGGAAAACUUAAGGAUGCUUGUUAUGAUGCAGAAGAUGUGUUGGAUGAAUUUGAGGUGGAAGAUCUACGAAGGCAAGUCAUGAAGCAAAGAAGCAUCGGAAGAAAGUUUCGUAACUUUUUUGGAUGCUCAAAUCCGAUAGCUUUUCGUUUUAGAAUGGGUCAUCAAAUCAAGAAAAUUCGAGAGAGGUUUGAUGAGAUUGCAAAAUUGAGGGGUGAGUUUAAUCUCAUUGAACGACUUGACGAUCAUCGGCGAGUUGUGCACAAAGAAAGGGAAUCCACUCACUCCUUUGUGCUUUCAUCAGAUAUUAUUGGAAGAGAUAAAGAUAGAGAAAAGAUUAUUGAACUAUUGAUGCAAGCAAGUUCUGGCGAAAGUGAAACUCUGUCUGUUAUUCCUAUUGUGGGAAUUGGAGGUCUGGGCAAAACUGCUCUUGCACAGUUGGUGUUCAAUGACCAAAGGGUAGAAGAGCAUUUUGAGUUGAAAAUCUGGAUGCGUGUUUUUGAGGAUUUUGGUGGGAGACAAAUUAUGAGAGAGAUUAUGGAGUCGAUCAUUGUACAAAUUAUGAGAAAGUGUGUGUUCCUAGGUGACUUGAAUACACAACAAUUGCAACGAAUCUUGCGAGAUCAUUUGAAUAGUAAGAGAUGUUGGGAAAAUAUGCUCUUUAAAAGCAUAUGUGUUUAUUUGAAUGUAAUAAACUAUUUUUCUGAUCAAUAAAAUAAAUGAGGUAUUUUAUUCAAAUAUCUUGAUUGCAUUAAUAUUUGUAUUAAAGUGGGCACGAGGGGAGGUACUAUUGGCUACAACUUACAAGGUCUACCAUUCGAGGAUUGCUUGUCUUUGUUUAUGAAAUGUGCAUUUAAAGAAGAGCGAGAUAAACAUCCAAACCUCAUAAAAAUCGGGGAAGAAAUUGUGAAGAAAUGUGGGGGAAUUCCUCUGGCAGUCAGAGCACUAGGAAGUCUAUUAUGUGGCAAAACAGAUAAACGUAAUUGGGAAUAUGUGAGGGAUAUUGAGAUAUGGCAGUUAGAGCAAAUGGACACUGGCAUUUUACGUGCUCUGAGGUUAAGCUACGAUCAAUUGCCACCUCACCUGAAACAAUGUGUUGCUUAUUGUUCAAUCUUUCCGAAGGGUUAUCAAUUUUAUGGUGAUUCUUUGGUUCAAUUUUGGAUGGCUCAUGGUCUUCUCCAAUCGCAUAAUAAGAAAGAAGAGUUAGAUGAUAUUGGUAUGCGAUACUUGAAGGAAUUACUAUCAAGAUUUUUCUUCCAAGAUUUGAGUUUUGGGAUGUUAGGAAUGGAGACGUUCUCUUUCAAAAUGCACGACCUUAUGCAUGAUCUUUCCCUGCUAGUGGCUAAAGAUGAAUUCCUAGUAGUGAACUCUGAUUGUCAAUUUAUUCCCAAAAAAGUCCGCCAUUUGUCAUUUGUUGCUGCUAAUGCGUCAAGAAAUGACUUUUCAAGCCUUUUAUCUGAUCUAGGUCGUGUUAGAACCAUUUUCUUUUCAACUGAUGAUGAUGAGAAGACAAGCCAAUCAUUUAUUGAAUCAUGCAUCUCAAAGUCGCAGUUCCUAAGAGUGCUAGAUUUAAGUGGCUCUGCUAUUGAGGUUUGUCCAAGAGAGAUGGGUAAUUUGAAGCACACGAGAUAUCUUGAUCUGUCGAAAAAUUAUAAAAUCAAGAAACUUCCAAAAUCCAUUUGCGAGCUACAGAGUUUACAAACACUGAAUCUUGCUGGAUGUUUGGAGCUAGAAGAGUUGCCUAAAGACAUAAGGUACCUUGUCAAUCUCAGAUUGUUAGCGCUAACCACAAAACAGAAGUCUUUGCAAGAGAGUGGAAUAAGGAGCUUG
rnacentral:lncRNA from 1 species